rnacentral:lncRNA from 1 species
AAGCGGGCUACACAGCCUGUGUGAAUCACCUACUUUUUGUUGCGACGCUCUUCCAUGUGGUAGACUGAUGCAUGGUCCGCGUUUAUUUCUGUAUUGUUGUAAAAACCAUUUGUUUAUUCACCCAAUACAAAUGUACUGCUUCUUCGCUGCAGUACAUUUUAGUUACGCGCUGAAGGAUACUAAAAGUGGGAGGGGACCGCCAUCGCCCAGCAUAGUAUGUCCACUGAGGCGACCUGAGAGGCGGCGGUUGCGCGAGUGUAUAAUUAAAGAGCUCUUUUUUUGUCCAGUGACACUGGCCCCUUUCCACUUUUAGUAUGCUUCACCGCAGUACAUUGCUUAAGAUUCACCGCAGAACAUAGGUGUAUUGCGAAAAUGGUAAUCUUAAAAAGCUCAAUUAUGCAACGUUUCUUUUGUAGCUUGCUACACCGCAAUACAGGGGUGGAAAUAAGCAUCGUGCAGUAAAGCAUACUAAGAGCGGAAAGGGCACAUAGGUUUACUCAUUACUUUCAAUUGUGAUAUAAUUUGCAAGUGCAUCUGUGCUCUGGGUAAGCUGUAUUGACAAUUCUUUGUACAUUACAAAUUCAUAUUGCCGGGAAGCUUACUAAGGCACAUUCGCCAUUUUGUAAUGCAUUAUUCACCUUCAAUGCAGGAGCACAAUGCGGAUUCAUGCCUAUGCUUCUGGCUGGACUGUACGUGUUCUUUGAGAAUUGAUUUGUUGUUCAUAAGUGCAGUGGUACUUACUCUAAACUGGAGGGCUGAAGUUGAUACGGAAGCACAAUUUUUACGAAGGGGACAAGAUGUUGCCAAGAUGGUUGCAGCAAAGCUUUUUUUUUUUCCAGGCACCUUUUCUACUAGAAGCUUCCAUUGCAGUGUUCUGAGCCUUUUUGAGCCAGCACAUAGUGUAUAUAAAAAUCGGACACCGAUUGGGAACGUCACCUAUGCUCUCUGCAGUAAGCUGUGCACAGGAUAAGUUCAUGCCUAUCUACAGAAAAAAAUGUAGCAUGACCAGACAAAAUAAAAGGGGGUAGGCUGCAGCAAUACUAAGUGUAAAAUGGUGCCUUAUCUUUUCCCUUGAGUUUUCUGUUUUGUGCUUUUUAUUAUGGAUCCUCCACAGUAACCAUUAGAGUGCCGAACUUGAGCUUGUUGGUUUCAGAUCUCAUGGUUGUUACUAACAGAACAGUGUGAUAAACGAACAAGGGCUUGGAGGCAUCCAGUCACCUUGCUUAUCUCAUGGUGUUGCUUCAUGAGCACUGUGAGCCUUCAGACCAACUAGGAAGGGAGUGCUAUUCCUGUCCAGCUUGCUGAAAGCUAUCCCGAGUGUUUCAAAAGCAGGACUGCUGCCGGACAAGAAGUGCAUAAAGCAAGGGUAGCUAUAACCAUAUAUGUCACACAAAAUGAAGAAGGCCACUGAGUGUACAGGCAGUUUAAUUCUUAUCCAACAAGCUUGGUUCUCCCUUUGCAAGUGAGUAAACCCAACUUGCCCCAAAGACAUGGCCUGUGACAAACUAUGUGCCAGAUGCUGUGUCCCCUGCAAAGCUGAAGAUGUGUACAAGAUCCUGACACCCGCGGUAGCUUCUACACUGGGUAAACAGGCUACUAUAAGAACGACUACCUCUACUAAUAUGCUAAUGAGAUGAAAAUGGGCAGAAAUUCGGCUAUUCAUUGGGCCCAACUGUAGGUGCAAGCCACUCUUCUACCAGAUGUGUGUUGUUCACAGGAAUUGGAGCUAUACAAAUGCAGAUAAAAACAAUGAUGUUUGAAAGUAGUAGAGUUGAACUAUAUUCUGCACAAACAGUGCUACUUGCAGCGCUGGUACCUUAUAGCUACAAUUCAUGGCUGCCCCACCAUGCAAAGGCACUAUUCUUGAAUUAUCAACUUCUAUUUAUAUUUAUGGUGGCCAUAUAUUGCAAGUACAUAUCCACAUUGUGUGCAAUAUGGUUAAGUGAUGUCAACUAUGAUAGCCAUUCCUAAUCUGAGAUGCAACAAAAGAACUAAUAUAGGCAACAAAUUGUAAUUCGAAAAGACAACCCGUGCACAGGAUAAGUGACAGACUUCCUUUUAUUGAACAAAAGUCACAUGUGUCACAUGUCACCAGCAGUGGGUAGCAAACUUGCAAGCUUGGGUGACAGAGGCGAAACUUAGCAAAAUGCUACGCUCAUACUCAAAUGUAAAACGGCCUAUGACACAAAAAACGACAUUAUAUUGUACUGAAUGAAAGGGCAAGACUCCAUCCAAGAACACAUUAUGGCAUCACAUAAUUGGCAUGAUGUAAAAGAUGUUAACACGCCCUCCCCGUAAAAAAAGAAACACUGAAAACAUGCCUUAAAAGGCAAUAAUCAGAGUCUGAAAGCAAGAAAAAACAACCCAAAAAAGGUUUCGCUAAGUCUUUCAAUGAUUAAAAUUGUCAAA